UGAGUAAUACGUGAGAAUCUGCCCUUAGGAAAAGAAUAACUUCUGGAAACGGUUGCUAAAUCUUUAUAUGUCGAGAGAUGAAAUAGCUUAGGCUGCCUAAGGAUGAGCUCACGCCUGAUUAGCUUGUUGGUGAGGUAAUGGCUCACUAAGGCCACGAUCAGUAGCUGGUUUGAGAGAACGACCAGCCACACUGGGACUGAGACACGGCCCAGACUCCUCCGGGAGGCAGCAGUGAGGAAUUUUCCGCAAUGGGCGAAAGCCUGACGGAGCAAUACCGCGUGAGGGAUGAAGGAUUUUGGUCUGUAAACCUCUUUUCUCAAGAAAGAAGUUCUGACGGUACUUGAGGAAUAAGCAUCGGCUAACUCCGUGCCAGCAGCCGCGGUAAUACGGGGGAUGCAAGCGUUAUCCGGAAUGAUUGGGCGUAAAGCGCCUGUAGGUUGUUUAUUAAGUCCGUUGUUAAAGCCUAGGGCUUAACCCUAGAAAAGCAAUGGAAACUAGUAGACUAGAGUAUGGCAGGGGUAGAGGGAAUUUCUAGUGUAGCGGUGAAAUGCGUAGAUAUUAGAAAGAACACCGGUGGCGAAAGCGCUCUACUGGACCAUUACUGACACUCGGAGGCGAAAGCUAGGGUAGCAAAAGGGAUUAGAUACCCCUGUAGUCCUAGCCGUAAACGAUGGAUACUAGAUGUUGUGCAUUAUGUACAGUAUCGUAGCUAACGCGUUAAGUAUCCCGCCUGGGGAGUACGCUCGCAAGGGUGAAACUCAAAGGAAUUGACGG
rnacentral:rRNA from 1 species